GACGGAGGAUGCAAGCGUUAUCCGGAAUGAUUGGGCGUAAAGCGUCUGCAGGUGGCAGUUCAAGUCUGCUGUCAAAGACCGGGGCUUAACUUCGGGAAGGCAGUGGAAACUGAACAGCUAGAGUAUGGUAGGGGCAGAGGGAAUUCCUGGUGUAGCGGUGAAAUGCGUAGAGAUCAGGAAGAACAUCGGUGGCGAAGGCGCUCUGCUGGACCAUAACUGACACUCAGGGACGAAAGCUAGGGGAGCGAAUGGG
rnacentral:rRNA from 1 species